GACGAACGCUGGCGGCGUGCUUAACACAUGCAAGUCGAGCGGUAAGGCCCUUCGGGGUACACGAGCGGCGAACGGGUGAGUAACACGGGGGUGACCUGCCUCUAGCUCUGGGAUAAGCCUGGGAAACUGGGUCUAAUACCGGAUAUGACUCCACGGCGCAUGUUGUGGGGUGGAAAGCCUUGUGUGGCUAGAGAUGGGCCCGCGGCCUAUCAGCUUGUUGGUGGGGUGANGGCCUACCAAGGCGACGACGGGUAGCCGGCCUGAGAGGGCGACCGGCCACGACUGGGACUGAGACACGGCCCAGACUCCUACGGGAGGCAGCAGUCGGGGAAUCUUGCGCAAUGGGCGAAAGCCUGACGCAGCGACGCCGCGUGAGGGAU
rnacentral:rRNA from 1 species